rnacentral:rRNA from 1 species
UUGAACGCUGGCGGCAGGCCUAACACAUGCAAGUCGAACGGUAACAGGAAGCAGCUUGCUGCUUUGCUGACGAGUGGCGGACGGGUGAGUAAUGUCUGGGAAACUGCCUGAUGGAGGGGGAUAACUACUGGAAACGGUAGCUAAUACCGCAUAACGUCGCAAGACCAAAGAGGGGGACCUUCGGGCCUCUUGCCGUCGGAUGUGCCCAGAUGGGAUUAGCUAGUAGGUGGGGUAAAGGCUCACCUAGGCGACGAUCCCUAGCUGGUCUGAGAGGAUGACCAGCCACACUGGAACUGAGACACGGUCCAGACUCCUACGGGAGGCAGCAGUGGGGAAUAUUGCACAAUGGGCGCAAGCCUGAUGCAGCCAUGCCGCGUGUAUGAAGAAGGCCUUCGGGUUGUAAAGUACUUUCAGCGGGGAGGAAGGGAGUAAAGUUAAUACCUUUGCUCAUUGACGUUACCCGCAGAAGAAGCACCGGCUAACUCCGUG